AUGGCUUCCAUGGCGGGGGCGCCGAGGGUCAGGUCGCUCAACAUCGCGGCGCCGGAGGCGGACGCGAGGCCGGUGCUGGUGCCGGCGGGCAACAAGGCCCCGGCGGCUGCGCGGAAGCCUUCUCCCAAGCCGCUGCGGAAGGCGACGGCGGCCACGCCGGAGAAGCCUCCGGCCGCCGCGGCAGCCAAGGGGGGUGAGGAGCAGGGCGCGAAGAAGGAGGAGGCGGCCGCCACCGCUGGCGGCGCGACGAAGGGGGGCUCGCCCCCAUUGCCGUCGCCGAGGCGGACCCCGCUGAGGAAGCCGCACGAUGCGCCGGCGGUGGUCCUCGACGCGUCCUGCUCCUCGGAGGCCUCCGUGGAUUCUCUCCGCGGCCGGGCCUCCGGCGGAAGGACGGAGAGGAGCUGGUCCCAGCCGGCCGCGCCCAAGCGUGGGAAGGCUGCGUGUAAGGCGGUGGAGAAGCAUGCCGAUGUCGCUCUGGUGACGCGGGAGGCCGUCCAAGGGAAGAGGAGGUGCGCCUGGGUGACUCCGACCACCGAUCCUCACUAUGUCACUUUCCAUGAUGAGGAAUGGGGGGUUCCAGUUCACGACGACAGGAGAUUGUUCGAGCUACUUGUAUUAUCUGGUGCAUUAGCAGAACUAUCAUGGCCUGAAAUUCUCAAGAAGAGACAAAUUUUCAGAGAAAUUUUCACGAACUUCGAUCUGAUUGCUGUUUCCAAUAUAAAUGAAAAGAAGCUGGUAGCGCCAGGAAGCAUUGCCAGGUCCCUUUUGUCAGAGCAAAAGCUGCGAGCAGUCCUCGAAAACGCUCGCCAGAUAGUUAAGAUUGCAGAUGAAUUUGGAUCCUUCAGUCAAUACUGCUGGGGUUUUCUGAACCACAAACCGAUAGUAAGCAAAAUCCGAUAUCCAAGGCAAGUCCCUGUCAAGAGCCCCAAGGCAGACAUGAUGAGCAAGGACAUGGUGCGAAGGGGACUCCGAGGCGUGGGCCCAACAGUCAUAUAUUCCUUCAUGCAGGCAGCAGGGCUAACCAAUGAUCACCUGGUCAGUUGCUUCCGUUUCAAAGAAUGCAAGCCGUCUCCAACCCUUGGCACGAGCGACGCCGACAGGGCGAAGACAGAGGCAGAACGAAAAACGGAGGAGCCGAGAACAAAAGCCCACGGGGAGGAGAUGACCGUAAACUCGGACCCGUCGACGGCGAUCGACACGCUCACCAUUUCGUAG
rnacentral:rRNA from 1 species